UACGGAGGGAGCUAGCGUUGUUCGGAAUUACUGGGCGUAAAGCGCGCGUAGGCGGUUACUCAAGUCAGAGGUGAAAGCCCGGGGCUCAACCCCGGAACUGCCUUUGAAACUAGGUAGCUAGAAUCUUGGAGAGGUCAGUGGGAUUCCGAGUGUAGAGGUGAAAUUCGUAGAUAUUCGGAAGAACACCAGUGGCGAAGGCGACUGACUGGACAAGUAUUGACGCUGAGGUGCGAAAGCGUGGGGAGCAAACAGG
rnacentral:rRNA from 1 species